GGGCCCGUAGCUCAACGGCAGAGCGCCGCCCUUGCAAGGCGGAGGCUUCGGGUUCAAAUCCCGACGGGUCCA
rnacentral:tRNA from 1 species